AACGUAGGAGGCAAGCGUUAUCCGGAGUUACUGGGCGUAAAGCGCGUGCAGGCGGAUUAGUAAGUUACUUAUGAAAGCUCCUGGCUAAACUAGGAGAGGUUGAGUGAAACUGCUAGUCUAGAGUGGAUGAGAGGUUGACAGAAUUCCUUGUGUAGUGGUGAAAUGCGUAGAUAUAAGGAAGAAUACCAGUGGCGAAGGCGGUCAACUGGCAUCCAACUGACGCUCAGACGCGAAAGCAUGGGUAGCGAACGGG
rnacentral:rRNA from 1 species